rnacentral:rRNA from 1 species
GACGAACGCUGGCGGCGUGCUUAACACAUGCAAGUCGAACGGAAAGGCCCUGCUUUUGUGGGGUGCUCGAGUGGCGAACGGGUGAGUAACACGUGAGUAACCUGCCCUUGACUUUGGGAUAACUUCAGGAAACUGGGGCUAAUACCGGAUAGGAGCUCCUGCUGCAUGGGGGGGGUUGGAAAGUUUCGGCGGGUGGGGAUGGACUCGCGGCUUAUCAGCUUGUGGGUGGGGUAGUGGCUUACCAAGGCUUUGACGGGUAGCCGGCCUGAGAGGGUGACCGGCCACAUUGGGACUGAGGUACGGCCCAGUCGCCUACGGGAGGCAGCAGUGGGGAAUAUUGCACAAUGGGCGGAAGCCUGAUGCAGCAACGCCGCGUGCGGGAUGACGGCCUUCGGGUUGUGAACCGCUUUCGCCUGUGACGAAGCGUGAGUGACGGUAAUGGGUAAAGAAGCACCGGCUAACUACGUG